CCUACGGGCGGCAGCAGUGGGGAAUAUUGCGCAAUGGGCGAAAGCCUGACGCAGUGACGCCGCGUGAGGGAUGAAGGUCUUCGGAUCGUAAACCUCUGUCAGCAGGGAAGAACGGUCACUGUGCUAAUCAGCAGUGAAUUGACGGUACCUGCAAAGGAAGCACCGGCUAACUCCGUGCCAGCAGCCGCGGUAAUACGGAGGGUGCGAGCGUUAAUCGGAAUUACUGGGCGUAAAGCGCUCGUAGGCGGUAUGUCAAGUCAAGGGUGAAAUCCCCGGGCUCAACGUGGGAACUGCCUUUGAAACUGGCAAACUGGAGUGUGUGAGAGGAUAGUGGAAUGCCAGGUGUAGGAGUGAAAUGCGUAGAUAUCUGGAGGAACAUCAGUGGCGAAGGCGACUAUCUGGCACAUAACUGACGCUGAGGAGCGAAAGCGUGGGUAGCAAACAGGAUUAGAUACCCCUGUAGUC
rnacentral:rRNA from 1 species